AAGCCUGAUGCAGCCAUGCCGCGUGUAUGAAGAAGGCCUUCGGGUUGUAAAGUACUUUCAGUUGUGAGGAAGGGGGUAGUGUUAAUAGCGCUAUCUCUUGACGUUAGCAACAGAAGAAGCACCGGCUAACUCCGUGCCAGCAGCCGCGGUAAUACGGAGGGUGCGAGCGUUAAUCGGAAUUACUGGGCGUAAAGCGCAUGCAGGUGGUUCAUUAAGUCAGAUGUGAAAGCCCGGGGCUCAACCUCGGAACUGCAUUUGAAACUGGUGAACUAGAGUACUGUAGAGGGGGGUAGAAUUUCAGGUGUAGCGGUGAAAUGCGUAGAGAUCUGAAGGAAUACCAGUGGCGAAGGCGGCCCCCUGGACAGAUACUGACACUCAGAUGCGAAAGCGUGGGGAGCAAACAGGAUUAGAUACCCUGGUAGUCCACGCCGUAAACGAUGUCUACUUGGAGGUUGUGGCCUUGAGCCGUGGCUUUCGGAGCUAACGCGUUAAGUAGACCGCCUGGGGAGUACGGUCGCAAGAUUAAAACUCA
rnacentral:rRNA from 1 species